AUGUCUUUUUCAGCAAGAGACCUGUAUUCCAGAGCUUGGAGAAGUGAGCGGGGAACAUUUGUCAUGAAACCAGAUAUCACAGGGUGGUUAUACAUAACAAAUGAAGACCAUGAAACGCUAAAGUUCACAAGCAGUUCUACUUAUGGCGGUCUUGGUGGAGACGACGUCAAGGACACGUGGAUUGGCAUUCAUGCACUCCGUCACGCAUUUCAUGUGAUACGCAAGUCAGAUGGAAGGCCCACAGACCUUCUUAGACAAGCUAUCAUGAUCAUCAGCAUUCACUUGUCAGAAUCAGCCCGCCUCCAGUCAGUUUUUGAAGCAGUUUGCGAGUCCAUGACUGAUGAUACACGAACCACUUUGGAUGUUGAACCUGAGGCUGCAGCCGGUGCGGCUCGGCCAAUAAGAACUCAUACCCCCUUGUUUUGGGUAGCGAAUUAUGGUUACUACUCCAAACAGGCGAUGACAGCUGUUGACAAGUAUAUUUCAGAAAAUGAGGAGUACAUAAUUGAAAAUGUUAUGGGUGGCCAGGUAAAGUCACCAGAGGAGAUCUUCAGGGAGAUCCGGAUACUCUCCCGGGAUGUGUAUCGCGACGGUGUUUUUGCUGAUAAAGUUGGUGAUCCACCGCUAGCACCGCCAACGGAAUCUCCUCCGGAUGCCACGGGAUAUGAGGUAGAAUUUCCCUAUCCACAGUUAAGUGAGUGGGAAAUCGGCACAAAAUAG
rnacentral:rRNA from 1 species